CUGGGCAUUAACGAGGAGAGGGAGGAGCCUCCGCAAUGGCGCCUGCCUGCCUUGGCUUCCCGCGGUAGAAGCUUCCCGGGAUGCACUGCUGCCCUAGCCACCUCUCCAGGAGACUCUCCAAGACCAGCAGGUUAAACUGUAUGUGCUGUGGUGCAGAAUAUGAAGGAACUCAUGUGAUCUGCCCCGAGUGAACACUUAACAUACUCCCAUAGAUGAACACAGGCUCUGCAUGUUUCCAAGGAGAGUUCCGACUCACUCCAGACUCUGCCACUACCAAGAAGCAACUUUAUAGCUUUUUUUGUUAUAAAAAUAAAGGAUCUAAGACCAAUCUCAAUAAAACUUACCAAACUAAUAUUUAGUGAUAUGGAGCAAGAGAAAACUUAGGAUGAAAAUGACCAGCAACAAAGUCAAAACGUCAAAUUAAAAUGUUCAUAAACUUUGAA